rnacentral:lncRNA from 1 species
UGCCCCACUCGCACUAUCCUUUUCCAUGUUCCAUGGACCGUGAAAUUGGGUUAUUAUCUAAUUUGGCUUAAAAAUUAGAAAGAUCAUCUCAUAAGCAACAAGUGUACUAAGUUUCAAGUUGAUUGGACUUCAGCUUCAUCAAAAACUACCUUGACCAAAAACUUUAACCUGGACGGACGAACGGAACCACAGACGGACGGACGGACGAACGGAGCCACAGACCAGAAAACAU